AUAGCUGGCAAGAAACCCCAUGGGAACAAAGAAGGGCUCUGGGUUUGCAGAGAGCCGAAAUGACCAUGACUGCCAACAAGAAUUCCAGCAUCACCCACGGAGCUGGAGGCACUAAGGCCCCUCGGGGGACUCUGAGCAGGUCUCAGUCAGUCUCUCCACCUCCAGUUCUCUCCCCACCAAGGAGUCCCAUCUACCCGCUCAGUGAUAGUGAAACCUCAGCCUGCAGGGCCUCCGGAGGAUGAGCAGGACCUUCUCCGAGUGUUCCUACCCAGAGACUGAGGAGGAGGGAGAGGCGCUCCCUGUCCGGGACUCUUUCUACCGGCUGGAGAAACGGCUGGGCCGGAGUGAGCCCAGCGCCUUCCUCAGGGGGCAUGGCAGCAGGAAGGAGAGCUCAGCAGUGCUGAGCCGGAUCCAGAAAAUUGAACAGGCCCUGAAGGAGCAGCCAGGCCGGGGGCUCCCCCAGCUCCCCAGCAGCUGCUACAGCGUGGACCGGGGGAAAAGGAAGACUGGAACCUUGGGCUCCUUGGAGGAGCCGGCAGGGG
rnacentral:sRNA from 1 species